AACUGAUACUACCUGCGGGAACCUGCGGAGGGAUCAUUACCGAGUUUACAACUCCCAAACCCCUGUGAACAUACCAAUUGUUGCCUCGGCGGAUCAGCCCGCUCCCGGUAAAACGGGACGGCCCGCCAGAGGACCCCUAAACUCUGUUUCUAUAUGUAACUUCUGAGUAAAACCAUAAAUAAAUCAAAACUUUCAACAACGGAUCUCU
rnacentral:misc_RNA from 1 species